rnacentral:rRNA from 1 species
GGGUCAGUAGGUUGGUCGUGCCACCGGUACGUACUGGUCUCACUGAUUCCUCCUUCCUGAAGAACCGUAAUGCCAUUAAUUUGGUGUUGCGGGGAAACAGGACUGUUACUUUGAAAAAAUUAGAGUGUUUAAAGCAAGCUAACGCUUGAAUACAUUAGCAUAGAAUAAUGAAAUAGGACGAUCGAUCCCAUUUUGUUGGUUUCUAGGAUUGACGUA